rnacentral:rRNA from 1 species
GAUGAACGCUGGCGAUAGGCCUAACACAUGCAAGUCGAACGGCAGCACAGUAAGAGCUUGCUCUUACGGGUGGCGAGUGGCGGACGGGUGAGGAAUACAUCGGAAUCUACUUUUUCGUGGGGGAUAACGUAGGGAAACUUACGCUAAUACCGCAUACGACCUACGGGUGAAAGCAGGGGAUCUUCGGACCUUGCGCGAUUGAAUGAGCCGAUGUCGGAUUAGCUAGUUGGCGGGGUAAAGGCCCACCAAGGCGACGAUCCGUAGCUGGUCUGAGAGGAUGAUCAGCCACACUGGAACUGAGACACGGUCCAGACUCCUACGGGAGGCAGCAGUGGGGAAUAUUGGACAAUGGGCGCAAGCCUGAUCCAGCCAUACCGCGUGGGUGAAGAAGGCCUUCGGGUUGUAAAGCCCUUUUGUUGGGAAAGAAAAGCAGCAGGUUAAUACCCCGCUGUUCUGACGGUACCCAAAGAAUAAGCACCGGCUGACUUCGUG